UAAUGCACUCACCUCUGCCUGGUGUCUCACUGAAGCUAAGCAGGGUUGAGCCUGGCCAGUAACUGGAUGGGAGAACUCCUGGGGAAAACUACGGUUGUUGCUGGAA
rnacentral:rRNA from 1 species